rnacentral:rRNA from 1 species
UACGUAGGGUCGCAAGCGUUGCCGGAAUUAUUGGGCGUAAAGAGCUCGUAGGCGGUUUGUCGCGUCUGCUGUGAAAUCCCGAGGCUCAACCUCGGGUCUGCAGUGGGUACGGGCAGACUGGAGUGCGGUAGGGGAGAAUGGAAUUCCUGGUGUAGCGGUGGAAUGCGCAGAUAUCAGGAGGAACACCGAUGGCGAAGGCAGUUCUCUGGGCCGUAACUGACGCUGAGGAGCGAAAGCGUGGGGAGCGAACAGG